AGAGUUUCUGAAGUGGUUUCAUGCCUUAAAAGUACACAUGCGUUCAAGCACGAUCUCAUCUCUGAGUUAGAGUAAACUGUUAAGACUUAAAACUUACUUAUUUUACCUUUCACCAUGGGGCUUGCAACCGUCACUUGGGUCUUGAGCAGUUAAAAGAUAGAACAGUCUAGUCAAGUGCCAUGUCUCUUUUUCUUUGGUUAACUAUAGCUCUGGAGUUUUUGCAGAUUUUCAAAUAAAACUCAAAUUCCUUGUAUGACUCUCUCAAAUCUAUCUUUUGUAGUAUUUCUGGAUCCUUACCAAGGCAGUAAUGGUAUAUGCCUUCUCUCAAAGUAUGUGGUAUUUUUGGUAUGAGGCAUAGUGAUAUUGCCUUCUCUCUACCCUACUCUUAUAAGGUUUUGAUAUUCGGAGCUCAUAGGUGGGAGACAGAUAAUACAUACUUACAAGACAUUUAUUGCAUAGUCAAACCAUGGAUCUAGAAGAACAAGUCAAUAAGUCAAAUCAAGAUGUGCAUGUGUGGCAAGUGAAUGGUGUAUGGUGAUGAUGGUGAUAACAAUGGUGAAAGUCUAAUUCUACUUUUGCUCUUUUUAGGGGAUACAUACCUUUCUUGCACUUUGAAGCUUUUUUUGAGGAGAAUGAGAUGCUCUAUAUUUUUUUCUUUUCUCUCAGGUGGGUAUCUUGUACCCCUAAUUCUACUGUCGGACACUUGUCCAUUUUACCUCUCGUCUCACUUUUUCUUUUCUUCGAGGUUCCGCGCACUUGCCCCUUUUUAUUUCCUCGUAUUUUUCCUUUUUUUCAGAGCACUCACCCUCCUAGAAUAAUGUAGCAAGUGGUUGUAUCCAAAAUAUCUCGAGCAUUUAUUUCACAGGGAAUAACAGGGAUAGGAAAAAGUUUUUGGCUAUUCUCUCCUAGAUAUUAGUAGAAUAAUUUUAGGUGAAUCUGGAGAUGGAAUUGAAUAGAUGUAUGUGGAUGCAUACUUCCGGAGUAGAAGUAACAUGUAUGAGUGAACGUGCAAGUGAAUUUUGAUUUUAACUGCAUGAGAAGCUCCUAGGGUCUACACAGCUUGACCACACUCAAUGCUCAUAAGCAGUAAAAAGUAAAUGUAUGGUUCUUAGUCUAAUAAGCAUGUAUGUAUGGCUGUGGUAGUAAUUUAAACUCUUAUCAUAUAGGAACUCAUCAUGCAAUAUUUUAAAUAUUUUCAAAGAUAAAAUUCUCCAGAAUUCUAGCAACUCUAGGAACAGAUAAACAGCAUCUCAACCUUUCCAUAUCAUAUCCGUUAACGACUUAGACUUUAGAUCAAGUACUCUUCCCACAAGUUCAGGUUUAGAGCAGGUUUAAAUUUAUAACAGUUAUGCCU
rnacentral:lncRNA from 1 species